rnacentral:rRNA from 1 species
UUCCGGUUGAUCCUGCCGGACCCGACUGCUAUCGGAUUGAGAUUUAGCCAUGCGAGUCGAACGUCCCCCUGUUGCGGGGGGCGUGGCGUACGGCUCAGUAACACGUAGUCAACCUGCCCUAGAGACAAGGACAACCCCGGGAAACUGGGAUUAAUCCUUGAUAGGUCAUCUCAUCUGGAAGGAGAGAUGGCUUAAAGGGGUACGCGGGCUUCUUCUGCGUAUCCGCUCUAGGAUGGGACUGCGUCCGAUCAGGCUGUUGGCGGGGUAAUGGCCCACCAAACCUGUAACCGGUACGGGCCUUGAGAGAGGUGGCCCGGAGAUGGACACUGAGAGAAGGGUCCAGGUCCUACGGGGCGCAGCAGGCGCGAAACCUUCGCAAUGCGCGAAAGCGUGACGAGGUUAAUCCGAGUGGCCCCCGCUGAGGGGGUCUUUUGUCAGCUGUAAAUAGGCAGGCGAAUAAGGGGAGGGCAAGCCUGGUGUCAGCCGCCGCGGUAAUACCAGCUCCUCGAGUGGUCGGGGCGAUUAUUGGGCCUAAAGCAUCCGUAGCCGGUUCCGUAGGUCCUCUGUUAAAUCCAACCGCUCAACGGUUGACCUGCAGAGGAUACCGCGGGACUAGGAGGCGGGAGAGGCGGACGGUAUUCCGCGUGUAGGGGUAAAAUCCUUUGAUCCGCGGAGGACCACCAGUGGCGAAGGCGGUCCGCCAGAACGCGCUCGACGGUGAGGGAUGAAAGCUGGGGGAGCGAACCGGAUUAGAUACCCGGGUAGUCCCAGCCGUAAACGAUGCUAGCUAGAUGAUUCAUUCGCAAGUCGCGAAUGAAGUGUCGCAGGAAGCCGUUAAGCUAG